AGGAUGAACGCUGGCGGCGUGCUUAACACAUGCAAGUCACGGGGGCCCAGCAAUGGGUAACCGGCGAACGGGUGCGUAACACGUGAGCAACCUACCGAAAUGAGGGGGAUAGCCGGCCCAACGGCCGGGUAAUACCGCAUACGCUCGAGACCAGGCAUUUGGACUCGAGGAAACCUCCGGGGCAUUUCGAGGGGCUCGCGGCCUAUCAGCUAGUUGGUGAGGUAACGGCUCACCAAGGCGACGACGGGUAGCUGGUCUGAGAGGAUGGCCAGCCACAUUGGGACUGAGAUACGGCCCAGACUCCGUACGGGAGGCAGCGAGUGGGGAAUCCUGCGCAAUCGGACCUAACGGCUGACGCAGCGACGCCGCGUGAGGAUGACGCUCGUUCGGAGUACGUAAACCUUCUUUGCCUGAGACC
rnacentral:rRNA from 1 species